UACGUAGGGUGCAAGCGUUGUCCGGAAUUAUUGGGCGUAAAGGGCUCGUAGGCGGUCCAUCGCGUCGGGAGUGAAAAGCUGGGGCUUAACCCCAGUCCUGCUUCCGAUACGGGUGGACUAGAGGUAGGUAGGGGAGAACGGAAUUCCUGGUGUAGCGGUGAAAUGCGCAGAUAUCAGGAGGAACACCGGUGGCGAAGGCGGCAUCCUGGACCGGCAUUGACGCUGAGGCGCGAAAGCUAGGGGAGCAAACGGG
rnacentral:rRNA from 1 species